rfam:Triticum aestivum genome assembly, contig: Triticum_aestivum_CS42_TGACv1_scaffold_470904_6AL
AAAGUACUCCCUCCAUCCCAAAAUUCUUGUCUUAGAUUUGUCUAGAUACGGAUGUAUCAAGUCACAUUUUAGUAUUAGAUACAUCCAUAUCUAGACAAAUCUAAGACAAGAAAUUUGGGACAAAGGGAGUAGUUG